UGAAGCGUCCGUCUGUCUUCCGGUUGUGUGUUAUUGCCAUAGGGCUAUUGAUGGGUCCCUCUCACCUAGAGAGGAUAAGGACUUCCGAGACUUGUUGCCGAAGGUCCGCCCGAAGCCUCUGUUGAAGGGGUGGGCUACGAAAAGAUCUUUGUGCACAAGUCCUAAUCGUAAAAAAAAAAAAAAAAAAAAAAAAUAUAGCCAAAUGCCUCGUCAUCUAAUUAGUGACGCGCAUGAAUGGAUUAACGAGAUUCCUACUGUCCCUAU
rnacentral:ncRNA from 1 species